GCGUCGGUGGUUCAGUGGUAGAAUACUCGCCUGCCACGCGGGUGGCCCAGGUUCGAAUCCCGGCCGACGCA
rnacentral:tRNA from 1 species